rnacentral:rRNA from 1 species
AGAGUUUGAUCCUGGCUCAGAUUGAACGCUGGCGGCAGGCCUAACACAUGCAAGUCGAGCGGUAGCACGAGAGAGCUUGCUCUCUGGGUGACGAGCGGCGGACGGGUGAGUAAUGUCUGGGAAACUGCCUGAUGGAGGGGGAUAACUACUGGAAACGGUAGCUAAUACCGCAUAACGUCUACGGACCAAAGUGGGGGACCUUCGGGCCUCACGCCAUCAGAUGUGCCCAGAUGGGAUUAGCUAGUAGGUGGGGUAAUGGCUCACCUAGGCGACGAUCCCUAGCUGGUCUGAGAGGAUGACCAGCCACACUGGAACUGAGACACGGUCCAGACUCCUACGGGAGGCAGCAGUGGGGAAUAUUGCACAAAGGGCGCAAGCCUGAUGCAGCCAUGCCGCGUGUGUGAAGAAGGCCUUAGGGUUGUAAAGCACUUUCAGCGAGGAGGAAGGGUUCAGUGUUAAUAGCACUGUUCAUUGACGUUACUCGCAGAAGAAGCACCGGCUAACUCCGUGCCAGCAGCCGCGGUAAUACGGAGGGUGCAAGCGUUAAUCGGAAUUACUGGGCGUGAAGCGCACGCAGGCGGUUUGUUAAGUCGGAUGUGAAAUCCCC